UGUAGAUGAGCCUCCGGAGAACAUAUUUUUGUGUCAAUUUUAUAUCAAGGAUUUGAGAAAUAUCUUACUGUCGUGUUUCACUUGUGCCACAACACUGACAGACUGAAGCACCAAUACACCUUGGUUCAGGAAGGCCUUGUCCCUGCUGGCAGAAGCUGUAAGGACUGAUUUUAUUUUCACUCUUACAGUCACCAGCUCUGAGGAAUUGCACUGGGUUGCCUAGGCUUUUGUAGGGAGGCGGAUAGGAGGUGGCGAGGCCUCAGCGCUGAGUGCUUUGACCAUUCUUUCGCAAAGCAAAGAGCUGCUCUGUGUUGCACAAGACUGGAGUUUCUCAAGUCCGUCAUGGUUGCACUAAGCACGUGAUAAACACAGGGCCUCGCAGUGGUGCUCCACAGCUCAGCUUUCUGCAGACAGUUAUGACAGAGCAACCACUUGGAAAUCAAAGGAUUUCUCAGAAGCAGCCGAUCAUCUGAGGAGUGCAGGUGGGGGCUGAUACAGGGCUUUCAGCAUGCCAUAAUUUAUCUGACUUGUCCCUCUGUACCACUACACCAGCAGCAUUUUGCCAGAAAUGAUCAAUGAGGAGGAGGAUCUGGCUUAACUGAAACGUUGGAACCAGCCUGCAUGGUGAAAACCACGGAGGCAGGAAGAAGCAGCUGCAAGUGUCAUGGCAGGGCCUUCUGCAGACCUGGAGGCAGGCACCAGCUUCUCAGGACAGGCUUCUUCUGGGUUACGGAGGGAGGUCUGGAAUGAUCUUCAAAGUAGCCUAAUCACUUCAUGCUGACAUUUUAAUAACAUCAAUGGGAGGACUUGCGGAGAACAGCAGGUAUGAAAAGAUGGGGAAUACAGUCAUCGGCUUUGUAGAACCUGAGGAGGCGAAGCUACAUCCUGGUACCUCUGCAGUGUGGUGGAAAGGUUUCUUCCUGGUGAAGGUAAGGCUUCAAUAGGAAAUAUCAGAAACCACCUAUUUGUAGUAACUUUUUGUCAAAUCUCCACUGUAAGGUGUUGUAAAGAUGGAGAUGAUGAGAAAAGUCAGCAGCACUGGCUGCUGUUUAAGUAUUCCCUCAAGCUACAGCAAGUGAGCAUUGCCUGUGAGGUGCUUCUGUUGCAAGAGACACAGAACAACAGCUCUGGCCCAGAGAGCCACAAGUGACAGGCAGAUGUGAAGCACUCUUGAUUUUUUGAAGUGAGGCAUGUGGUAAAAUGUUGCAGAAGUCAUGCAGACGUGUGCUUACUGAAGCACAUAUUUUUCAAACUCCCAACAGGAAUGAAUAAACCCUAUCAAGGUUUAUCCA
rnacentral:lncRNA from 1 species